ACGAUGCGGGUCUUCGCAGCCCACCGCACACCUGCGGAGGCCGGGUAGCAAACAGACUUUGAUCCCGGGAGCCGAGUCCACGUGGGGCAGGCCUCGCGGCCGCUGUGUGACAGACAGCAACCAGGGAGGAGAGGGAGGGGGAGCCCCUGUGUGCAGGGCCUGGUGUGCGCCCUCCUGUCAGAAGAACCUAGGUUAGGCGAAAGACUCAUAAACAAGUGCUGCAAGUAACUUGUGACUCUGCCCAACACCGAGCUGAGGAGUUAGUACUUAAGGGCGGUCCUGCGAGUGGCGUGGACCGAAUCUUUGUAAAUGUUUCAGUAAAAGCAAAUCGCCCCUAUCACCACCAUCCCCAGGAGCCCUUGUGUAAAGUCAGAUAUUUCUGUCACUGAUUAUCUAAGGACAAUUUAGGUACAGACGUUAAGCGGGAGAAACCUGGGUUCUGGUCCUUGCUUUCCCACUGGCCAGCUGUGUGAAUUCGGGCACGUCAACUAACUUUUCUAGACCUAUGUCUUCAUCUAUAAAGAAGACAUGAAGAAAUCCUAAGAUUCCUUCUGACUCUAAGAUUCUAAUGCUCUAUGAAUUAACAAACAUUUUAUUUAUAGACUACAAACAGCGGAACCCUGCGUUGGUUGCUAUGGGGGAGGGGAAAGGCAGUAAGAAUACAGAAGAAUGAAGACUAUAGACAAAAAUUUUAAGUUACGAUAAAAUACCCUUAAAUUGUGCCAACACUAGUGUAGAUUAUAUAUAUGCACCUUGCUCUGAGUGGAGAUGAGUUAAUCUGGGAAUGAAGGCUUCUUGUUCCUGGUGGGGGCGCUGGAAUCAGAGUAGCCUGAGCUGGAUCUCCAAAGGCCUCACCACAGACCUGAAUAGGAGGAAGGACCCCGAACUGCUCUGGAUUUCUACAAGACAAAUGCCAUGCUAGCCAGUGCUUCAGGAUCUGUAUAUAAGAUCCUUCUUGAACACCCACAGUUCCCUAUCUAUACUGGAAUAUGAGAAUCAGAGGACUCUUCUUCGGGACAAAGUAGAAAACACCGUGACACAUUCUUAUUUAUUAGCUCACCUUUUUCUUUACUUCAAGCGGGCUACCACCUUUUUGCUGUGAUAUUAUCUCACACAAGAUGCAAUUAACUGGAUGAAACUCAGACUCACCCUUGAAAUCUGCCAUGAUAACAUUCCAGGUUCUCAUACAGUCUUCGAAGUUCUUCCACAUCCUUUAUUUAAGGUACGUGAUGAUCCUAUGAAGUUCGCAAGGCAGAUUCUACAGAUUAUGGACUGAGACCCCAAGAAAUGAAGAAAUUGCUCAAGGUUCCAUGGCUUGUGUGGCCCUAAUUGCACCAGCGACAUGUUUUUCUUUAACUUCAUAUCCAAAUUUGAGGGGAACAAACCCAUUUUGAAGCUCAAGACCUCACAUGUACUACUACUACGAAUUCUAUAAUUCAUCUAAGUUCUAGAAGUUUCUGGUUCUAUGAUUCUCUUAUUAAUUUGUAAUUACUAUAAGGACUAAGGGGAGGUGGCCUACUUGUGAGUGACACCUCUUUAACAGGUCACUCCAACAUCUGAGUCUCCAGUGGUACGUUCCAAAACUGGGUCCUAUUCACACAUAACUCUGUAGAAUGAAUUAAUUUUUCUGCCUACCGUUUUUAUCCAUUUCUUACUUUUAAUUUCUUUAACAACCAGGAUGCCUUCCAAGGAACUAACGUUAGUGAAAAUACUGACCCCUCACCUGGAGUGACUUGUUAAAAUGCCGAUUCUGAUUCAGUAAGGUCUGCAGUGGAGUCUGAGAUUCUGCAUUUCCAGGAAGCUCCUGAGUGCGGGGGAGGGACAGUAUUGGCAGUCCCCAGAUCACAAUUUGACAACCAAGGUACUAAUAGGGGACACACAAGGUGACUAGACAGACAGCAGAAAAGACCAUGUGAAGAUGGAGAUGGAGAUUGCCAAGGGAUGCCCACAGCCACCGGGAGCUGAAAGAGGCGAGGAGAGGAAUCUCUCCCAGCCCUGCCUACACCUGGAUUUCAGACUUCUGCCUCCAGAACUGUCUCCAGGGAUCCACAGAUAUCUUAGCCCUGCUUUCCUUUUGUUGAAGACGAGGUGUCUGAGACCCUUCGAGGUUAGAUGGCUUGCUUUGGGUCACCCAAGAAGAGUGGAAGAGCUAGGAAGGGUGCCCAAUCUUCAACUACACACUCGGCGUGAUAUAUCCUAUCUCUACCAUGAUCAAGAGCAACAUUCAUUUGGUUUCUUUUCCCAGUCAAGGGUAUUAUUCAAAGCAUCAGUGGGAAGGCAUCAUUUUCUGUAUGACUCAUCCUCGUUCCAAGAUUAACAUGCUCCACUUUCAUUCUUUGCCUCCCACUCAGUUUCAUAUCCAGCGGGGGCCCUGAGAGUCUCUAUGUCCUGUCUACUCCCCACCCCUCCGGCUCGCUCCCCUCCCCAGCUGUGCUCUUACCUCCUGGCCCCAGACUGUCCCACCAUCCUCAGAUUCCAACGGCUACUUUCGCUGGACUCUGGUUUAAGAAAGGCAUGUCUUCCUGAAAUACCCCUCUGAUCUAUGUUGAAAAUAGAAAAAAGAAAUAUACUUAAGUUGAAGCAGAUGUACAGGAGGAACAAGUGUUUGUCCAUAUGCUUCGGGCAUUCCAUUAAGGUCCAAGCAUUGCAGCAAAAAGCAUGUAUUUCUGAACAUAUAUAUUUUAUUUCA